AGAUUGAACGCUGGCGGCAGGCCUAACACAUGCAAGUCGAGCGGUAGAGAGGUGCUUGCAUCUCUUGAGAGCGGCGGACGGGUGAGUAAUGCCUAGGAAUCUGCCUAGUGGUGGGGGAUAACGUUCGGAAACGGACGCUAAUACCGCAUACGUCCUACGGGAGAAAGCGGGGGACCUUCGGGCCUCGCGCCAUUAGAUGAGCCUAGGUCGGAUUAGCUAGUUGGUGAGGUAAUGGCUCACCAAGGCGACGAUCCGUAACUGGUCUGAGAGGAUGAUCAGUCACACUGGAACUGAGACACGGUCCAGACUCCUACGGGAGCAGCAGUGGGAAUAUGACAA
rnacentral:rRNA from 1 species